rnacentral:rRNA from 1 species
UACGUAGGGGGCUAGCGUUGUCCGGAAUCAUUGGGCGUAAAGCGCGUGUAGGCGGCUUGCCAAGUCCGAUGUGAAAGCUCGGGGCUCAACCCCGAGUCUGCAUUGGAAACUGGCUUGCUUGAGUCCGGAAGAGGAGACUGGAAUUCCUGGUGUAGCGGUGAAAUGCGCAGAUAUCAGGAAGAACACCGGUGGCGAAGGCGGGUCUCUGGGACGGUACUGACGCUGAGACGCGAAAGCGUGGGGAGCAAACAGG